CGUGGCAUUCGCUGGAAUGUUCUCAGUGAUAAUAAGCAAUGAAAGCAUUUUAGCGCGUUUAAAGGAAAAGCAUAGCAUUUGGCGUAUAAGUAAUAAACUCAAAAUUUCCCAAGCAUUUGGUUUCCUACUUUUCAAGCGAAUAAUUUUGCUUCGGAAUCUCAUUGCGUUCGUGUUGACAACCUUUUCGAAGUUCUUACGCUUUAUGGGGGUUCUGAUAUUUGCCCAGCGCUUGAUUUUGUGCCAGAUUGAGCCAAUCUACUUUCUGCAUUAGUUGUCAUGGAAUUAAAAAUUAUGUUUUGAGCAAAUUGAAAGUAAUAUUGAUGUCCUUGCUCUGUUAAGUGCUUUAGUUAUUUAUAUUUCUAAAGCUCGGAUAAAAGGAUAUAAGGGACUGAAAUGUACAUUGGGGCUCUUUUAACUUCUGCCGGAAUCAAUAUAGCUAUAUGUGUUGUGCUGCUGUCAUUGUAUUCCAUACUGAGAAAACAACCUAGCAAUGACAGUGUGUAUUUCAUGCGGAGGCUUAUUUCAGAAAAAAUAAAGCCUGAUCCUUUCGGCCUUGAAAGACUUGUGCCCUCUGCGAGCUGUAUUGUGAGGGCCUGGCAAGCAACUGAUGAAGACAUAUUGGUUGCUGGUGGCGUGGAUGCUCUAGUUUUAUUGAGAAUAGUUGUUUUCAGUAUUCGGAUAUUCAUCAUUGCUGCUAUGAUUUGCGUUUUUCUAGUGCUUCCAGUUAAUUAUUAUGGACAAGAAAGGCAGCACAAAAAAAUCAAUGCAGAAUCACUGGAUGUAUUUACUAUUGGAAAUGUAAAAGAAGGCUCAAAAUGGAGUACAAAAGCAUCACUAAAAUGAGAUUAGCACAUAUUACUGGAUCUCCUGUGAAUCCAAGUCAUUUCACCGUUAUAGUCCGUGGCAUCCCGUGGACUCGGGAUCAGUCAUACAGUGAGACGGUAGAACACUUCUUUUCAACUUACUAUCCAGCAAGCUACGUGUCCCACCAGAUGGUAUAUCGAGCUAGUAGAGUUGACAAAUUAGUGAAGGACGCAGAAAAGAUGUACAGAAUGCUAAAAACCAUUGAAUUGCAGAGCAGAGAGAGUUAUAUGCCAUUUUGUCUUUGUGGUGGAACUACACAUUCCUUUACGUCAGUUAACAUUGAAGCAGAAAGUUUUAAGAGUAAAACCUAUGGUGAUGGGCUGCAACCAAUUUAAAGAGAAAAGCUUGAAAAGGUUGAAAGUCUAGUCUAAUGUUUUUGAUUUUUGGGUUAUAGUAAUAUUAUAUAUGGUUUAUGUAUUCCUUUCCAACGGUUCUUUGCCAAAAGUUAAGCUUGUCUCAGAUAGUGUUCAGUCAUCAAUCAUUUUGCUUUUUGUAUCUCCUCUGGAUUAUUUUAAUGUGCAAUUGCCAUAUCGGUUCACCA